rnacentral:lncRNA from 1 species
GGUGCCCUGAGGCUUGCCAAAGGCACCCCUCAUUCCAGUCUGGAGCCUAUCAGCCCCGGCACAGGAAAGCAUCUUGUUGAUACGGAGGACAUGGAACGGGUGAACCCGGACCCUAAGGUGGAAGGCAUCCUUUCCUGCAGACUUGGUCAUGUACUUGUUGCAGGCAAUGCGGGCAGCCUCGAGCGCCUCACUGGAGACAUUCUCCUUCUCCCAAGAGACAAGGUGCACACAGUAGGGGAACUCAUCAACACCCUUCCUCUUCAUCCCGACAUCGUAGAUCCUGAUCUUGGGGUCAGGGACACCACGGCAGUACCUGGACUUAGGGUACGGCUUGU